rnacentral:rRNA from 1 species
AUGGCACACACAAAACAAUCAGGUUCAGUACCCUUGCACAAACAUAUUGGGAAAUCACAAGUUUUCCGAGUUUUGGCUAGAAGAAGAUUUAGUUUCUUUAAUGAGCACCCUUUUUUGUUGCCAGAAAACAAGAUUUUGUUGCCAGGUAAAACAAAAAAGCUUCUAGUUAUACCUGAAAAACAGAAUAAUACAAAUGGCAGUGAAAAAUGGCACACACAAAACAAUCAGGUUCAGUACCCUUGCACAAACAUAUUGGGAAAUCACAAGUUUUCCGAGUUUUGGCUAGAAGAAGAUUUAGUUUCUUUAAUGAGCACCCUUUUUUGUUGCCAGAAAACAAGAUUUUGUUGCCAGGUAAAACAAAAAAGCUUCUAG